rnacentral:rRNA from 1 species
UACAGAGGUCCCGAGCGUUGUUCGGAUUCACUGGGCGUAAAGGGCGCGUAGGUGGCUUGGUAAGUUUGAUGUGAAAUCUCCGGGCUUAACCCGGAAAAUGCAUUGAAUACUAUUUGAGCUUGAGGAUUGGAGGGGGGACUGGAAUUCUUGGUGUAGCAGUGAAAUGCGUAGAUAUCAAGAGGAACACCAGUGGCGAAGGCGAGUCCCUGGACAACACCUGACACUGAGGCGCGAAAGCUAGGGGAGCAAACAGG